UAUNGGUCAAUGGGCUUACGCCUGAACCAGCNAAGUCGCGUGAGGGAAGACUGCCCUAUGGGUUGUAAACCUCUUUUGUCAGGGAGCAAUUGGCGCUACGUGUAGCGUUAUCGAGAGUACCUGAAGAAAAAGCAUCGGCUAACUCCGUGCCAGCAGCCGCGGUAAUACGGAGGAUGCGAGCGUUAUCCGGAUUUAUUGGGUUUAAAGGGUGCGUAGGCGGAGUGUCAAGUCAGCGGUAAAAUUUCGGGGCUCAACCCCGUCGUGCCGUUGAAACUGACACCCUUGAGUGAGUGAGAAGUAAGCGGAAUGCGUGGUGUAGCGGUGAAAUGCAUAGAUAUCACGCAGAACGCCGAUUGCGAAGGCAGCUUACCGGCGCUCAACUGACGCUGAGGCACGAAAGUGCGGGUAUCG
rnacentral:rRNA from 1 species